rnacentral:tRNA from 1 species
GGAUUGAUAGCUCAGCAGGUAGAGCGGCACGCUGUUAACGUGAUGGUCGAAAGUUCGAAUCUUUCUCAUUCCGCAA